UACGUAGGGCGCAAGCGUUGUCCGGAAUUAUUGGGCGUAAAGAGCUCGUAGGCGGUUUGUCGCGUCUGCUGUGAAAACCUGAGGCUCAACCUCGGGCUUGCAGUGGGUACGGGCAGACUAGAGUGCGGUAGGGGUGACUGGAAUUCCUGGUGUAGCGGUGAAAUGCGCAGAUAUCAGGAGGAACACCGAUGGCGAAGGCAGGUCUCUGGGCCACUACUGACGCUGAGAAGCGAAAGCAUGGGGAGCGAACAGG
rnacentral:rRNA from 1 species